CACGGACUAGAGAGAAUGCAGAGACCGUGGCUACUAACAGUGUCACCAUCCCUCAAUCAGCAAGCAGGUGAUUUUUAGGCGUAUAUAUACACCUGACAAGAGACACAGAGAAAGAAAGGCUGCGACGAGGCCGGAAUGAUGGGGUUCUCCAGAGGGAUUGUUUUCCUCCUGCUCCUGUACCUGCUUCAGGGGUCAGACACCUCCUUGGUAAAGCUGAAUGAGAAUGGUUAUGAAGACAUUAUUAUUGCCAUCGAUCCUGCUGUGUCCGAAGAUGUAACAAUAAUUGACCAAAUAAAGG
rnacentral:lncRNA from 1 species